rnacentral:tRNA from 1 species
AGACCUAGGGGCCUAUUAAGCCCAAAAUCCAACUUGCAAUCAGACACUACUCCAGAUC